rnacentral:siRNA from 1 species
UAGAGGUGUCAAAAUGGGUA